rnacentral:rRNA from 1 species
AUGGUGGAGGACGACGGCACCGGUAGGCCAUUGGGUCUGAGCGGUAUCGUCCACAAGGCUAUCAUCGAGGUGAACGAGGACGGUACCGAGGCGGCGGCCGUCACCGCCGGUAUAAUGUGCGGCUGCGGUCCUCCACCGAAAACACCGCCGGUUCUCGUGGAUCUCGUCGCUGACCAUCCCUUUGCCUUCUUUGUAAUUGAGGAGGAGUCGGGUGCCGUCAUCUUCGCUGGGAACGUCCUUGAACCCUCUCCGUCGAUUCCUGGAGAGAAUCUUCGUCGCCGUGAGUCCGUACAUCGUGCUCCUAACUUCGUCGUCGGGAGGAGGCCCGAGCAUCCAUGGACUUUGGGUGCAAUCCAUGAGAAACAGCCGCUCGGGGUAUACUCAAGGGGUAUGGAUGGCCGUCCAUUUGUGCAGCAUGAGGCUGCUUCAUGUAAUCGUAUUCUUCUUUUCGCUUGUGUCUGCCUGGUUGUGGCAUUUUUCUUUCAACUUGUACGUCUUUUGGUGAUGUAA